rnacentral:lncRNA from 1 species
CGUUAACGACGGUUUCUCCAGUGGAGGACUCUGAAGGAGCUGCCAUGGACAGUUGGUGGUGGAAAAAUGGAUACCCAACUUUAGCUGAAUGGCCACCAUUGCCAUCACCAUCACCACCGGCAACAAGACGGCGCAUGAGGUAGAGCUCAGGUGGCGCUUGAAGCGUGUUAAUAAUAGUUUCCCCACUAUAAGACUCAGCAGGGCUACUGCGGUUGCUCAUCAUCGGAGCUUCAAUGGGCGGUUGGUGGUGAAAAAUCGGAAACCCAUUUCUUACCAGACCAACUUCAGCUGAAUAGCCACUAUUGUCACCCCCUUCACCACCAGCACCAAGGAGGCGUGUGAGAUCGAGUUCAGUAGGCGCGUGAACAAUUGUAUCCCCAUUUCUCACCAACCCAACUUCAGCUAAUCGACCACCAUUGCCAACUCCUUCACCACCAGCACCAAGGCAGCGCGUGAGUUCAAACUCAGACGGCGCGUGAGCACGAUUUUCUCCACUAAAAGACUCAUCCGGGCUACCACUAUCACUGCCAUUCUGAUUUUCCGAUGGUAAAGGGAAGUUUGUUUUAGCUUUGCAUCCACGGAACUCUCUAGCUGCAGCAUCAUAAGCUUUUGCCGCUUCCUCUGCCGUGUCAAAGGUGCCUAACCAAACUCUACUUUUCUUACCGGGAUCACGGAUUUCAGCAGCGUAACGACCCCAUGGCCUCUUCCUUACUCCUCUGUAAUGAACAUCUUUGUUGUUAUUCACUCCGUUACAUUUCGAAUUUCCAACUUUCAUACCGCCGUUAACUUUUUCCUUCAUUGCCAUUUUUUAAAAAAAAUAAGUUGGCUCCUAUGGAUGGGUUGGUUGCUCUUGUUUAUGAUGUGUAGAGUUGCUUAUAUAGCGGAGGGGAGGGUAAAAAGGAGGGCUAAAAGUUUUUUUUUUUUUUUGGCUCUUUGGAGGUAAAAACUUUCUUUGUACGUAUUUUAAUGGUUAUAUAUAAAAAAUAUUAAAUAUUAAAAUAAAUAAAUAAACAAACAUCCUUUUCUCUCUCUUCCCCUUUUUCUUUCUUUUUCUGUCUUCCCGUUCUUUCUUUCUCCAUUUCUUCUUCUUCUUUUGUUUCUUAUUCUUCUUCCUCCUCUUCUUAUUCUUCUUUUUCUUUCAUCUUCAUCUAGUUAUUCUUCUUGCUCUACAAAAAAAUUAAAAAGUAAGGGUCGAAAAAUUUAAGAAGUAUGAAAAGAAAGAUUUUUGAAUAUUUUUAUGAUUUGAGUGAUUCAAGAAACUUGAAAUUCAACAUAAAGAUUCAAUUUUUAUAUAUUUUUUAAAUUUUUUGUGAUUUGAGUAAUUCAAUUUUAUCUUUAACAAUGAACAACAACAAUAAUAUCAGCCAUAGCAAAUACUUGACCAAAAAAAAAAUAAAGCAAAAACCACUUUCAAGAAUUGCCCAGAUUUACUAUGCGAAGGAAAAGGGAGGAGUAAAUGCGCAAAUGAAAAAAAUAAAGCAAAAACCCCUUUCAAGAAUUGCCCAGAUUUACUAUGCGAAGGAAAAGUGAGGAGUAAAUGCGCAAAUGAAAGCAAUACGAGGAAGGGGAAGGAGGAAAAGAUGUUUGUUGCUUUUGAUGAGUAAGGCAAUGGCUUGUUUGAGUUCGAAUGGAGAAGUGAAAUGGUGAACAAUGGAGGGCGAUUGUACAUUAUUAUUGGCAUCAAUAAAGGGUUUGAAUCUUUUUUAGAGAAAAUGAUGAAAUGGAGAUGCUAAAAAAAGUGAAUUUAUUGUACAUUAUUGUUGGUAUCAAAUGAGGGGUGCUGGAAUGAGGUUGAGGUGUUGGGAUGGGAUUGGGUGGGAUGAGGGUACUGCAACAGGGUGGGACGGGCGAGGGGUGCUCGGACGGGAUUGAGUGGAUUGGGGGAGGAGGUUGGGGGUGACCUUUUUUUUUUUUUAAUUUUUAAGUUUAUUAUUUUUAAAAUAUUUUUAAAUUAAAAAAUUGAAUAAAAAUUGAGUGCCACUUUUUUUUUUCAAAAAAAAAUUAUUUUAAUAUAAAUUGGUCAAAAAAUUUUUUAUUACUUAUGGGUGUCGUAUUUAUGUUAUGCCAUCUUGUUUCAUACUUUACUAUGUAUUUAUGUAGGAUUCCGUGUCUCAAGCCAGGAGUCUAUCGAAAACAGUCUUUCUACUUCUUUAAAGACAAAGGUAUAGACCGCGUACAUCUUACCCUCCCCUCUUUAGUGGUAGAAAUAUGAACUGCUUACAUCUUACCUCCCAGAUCUUAGUAUGUAAAAAUACGCUGAAUUUAUUAUUGUUGUUGUUGAUCAAAAAUUGACCCUCACUCGCACCCCAGAUGUAUAACUACAUUCUCUUUGUUCUAGUUUACAUUCUCUUUGUCCUAAUACGCAUUUGAAUGCCACGUAGGUUCGAUCAAUGAUCAAACAUGCAAAAUAUUGCUUUUUAAUAGGCGUGUAACUACAUUUUCUUUGUCCUAAUCAGGAUUUGAAUAUCACGUAAGUUCAAUCAAUGGUCAAAAAAUGUAAAAUAUUACUUUUUAAUAGAUUAAAGAAUUUAAAUGACAAACAUGUUAAUAAAAAUAUCUAAUUUAUAAAACUAACAUAAUAAAAAUAUCUAAUUUAUAAAACUAACACUACUGAAAUCCAGAAUAUCAUUUUGCCAUUUGAAAACAUCAAUUACUUUGAAAGAAUUACAAUUCGAAACUUUCAUUAAUCAACAUUAUCUAAAAGAUAAAACUUUGAAAUUACAAGAACCCUUCCAGAUUGGCUAUUUUAAAAACAGGAAGUCCUUUGAACAUAUAUAUACAAAAUUAGUACUAGUAGUCAACAUCAAGCUUCCAUAGGUGGAGCUAGGUUAAGAUCAAGAUUUAAUUCUCUUCUACUUAGUCCUACUGACGAUGAAUCAGUUUCACUAUGACCUACUCUGUCAGUUACACUAUUAAGUUGAGCCGGCACCGGUUCAAACUGGUAUGGUUGUGGCCGGUUCAGUAAUCCGGUUCGAACAAAAUUACCAUCAAACAACAACAUUGGUUGUCCAUUUGGCAGAACCGCCAUAGCUGGUUGCUGAUGAAAAAUCGGAAACCCAUUACUUACAUAGCCGGCACCUUGAACGACGGCUCCAAGGCGGCGCGUAAGGUCGAGUUCAGGCGGUGCGUGAGGCGCGUUAACGACGGUUUCUCCAGUGGAGGACUCUGAAGGAGCUGCCAUGGACAGUUGGUGGUGGAAAAAUGGAUACCCAACUUUAGCUGAAUGGCCACCAUUGCCAUCACCAUCACCACCGGCAACAAGACGGCGCAUGAGGUAGAGCUCAGGUGGCGCUUGAAGCGUGUUAAUAAUAGUUUCCCCACUAUAAGACUCAGCAGGGCUACUGCGGUUGCUCAUCAUCGGAGCUUCAAUGGGCGGUUGGUGGUGAAAAAUCGGAAACCCAUUUCUUACCAGACCAACUUCAGCUGAAUAGCCACUAUUGUCACCCCCUUCACCACCAGCACCAAGGAGGCGUGUGAGAUCGAGUUCAGUAGGCGCGUGAACAAUUGUAUCCCCAUUUCUCACCAACCCAACUUCAGCUAAUCGACCACCAUUGCCAACUCCUUCACCACCAGCACCAAGGCAGCGCGUGAGUUCAAACUCAGACGGCGCGUGAGCACGAUUUUCUCCACUAAAAGACUC